GCCUCUCUUCAUAGUCUUGCCUUAACCCAGUAAAUAAGAAGGAUCAGACUUGGUUAGUACUUGGAUGGGAGACCACUUGGGAAUUCCGGGUAAUAUAGACU
rnacentral:rRNA from 1 species